rnacentral:lncRNA from 1 species
GGGCUCCAUGUCGGGCGUUCCGUCUCAUCUUGUAGCUGUUCCUAAUAACUACAUCAGGCCAGCGAGAGGAGCGGGGAGCUGACACCUUCCAUGAAACAGCUGCGGAGACGGGGCCCUGGGGAGGCCCAGCUGAUGGGCGGAGGAGAAAUGGAACAUGGCGUGGGGGCCAGUGCAAAUGGCUCACGAGGGCUGCUGCGUGGUAAUUAUCAGUGGCCAGCUGCUGGAGCAGACCGCAGCUGCCCUGCACUCCGGGGGACCGGCCGAGCUGCCACUUGGGGCUGCCACACCAAGGAGCCCAGCACCAGAAAUAAGCCAGG